rnacentral:lncRNA from 1 species
AAAAUAGUUAUACAUUUCGGGCACUAGAAAUUAAUAAAGUGAGAGCUCUAGGGAAAUAAGAUUCUACAGGAGAUAUAGAUUGCACAAAGGUUCUUCUGAUACGCAAAGAGCUAUGCUAUUUUUCAUGAUAUUUAGACUUAGUACCCUGGGGUUAAAUCUUCAUCACACUUUAAUAUGCAAAGAGCUUCACAGUACGGUGUGGAUGGUGUAUGUGUAUGCGUGCACACAUGCAAGUGUGCACGGGGUCUCAUAAUACCACUGUUUUUAGGCACCAACUAGACUCACAGAUGAUCCUGUGGAUCAAACAUUGGUUCAUGAUACCACUGAGACUAUCAUUCAGAGGAAGGUACUACAAGUUCCGGCCGAGCUAUUCAUUCUUAUCAUGCUUCGUGUGUUGUUUGGCUCACUCAAAGAUGAGAUGUUCAUGAUAUUAUCAACUCUUUUGUGAAUGGCCAGGGUUAACAAGGUAAUUGUUGCUGCCAGUAUGUUCUGCAUCUAGAUGCACUCCAAUGUGCUGUCAAUCUCCUGCCCUCAACCAUUUGCAACAGAAGAACAAGAAUGAAUGUUGAAAAACUGCACCUCCCUGUAUGUUUUUGCUCUGCAAAUGGCAUCAUGCCUCACCAUUCAUGAUGGACUGAUGGAAGUGCCAUUCCAGGAACAUGGAGUGACAACACUGAUGGGGCAGUAUAGAAAUAGAAAUAGUAUAUGAGAUAGAAAUGGAAACAAACAAACAGACAAACAGAUAUAUGGUGGGCCAUGCUAUAAUACAUAUGUUAAUCUUAAAGGUACCAGAGGACAAUCUACUGCUUUACUUGCAACCAACUAACAUAGUUGUCCAUUCAGAAUGUCUUCUUCAGCUAGUUGUUUGCAGGCGGUGGCAGCGGCAGGAGCGAGAAAGUCAUUCUUUUCCCUGCUCACAUCUCAUUUGUGAUCACAUACAUACAUACACAGACAGAGAGAGGCACACACUUGCCUCUGCUUUCCUUUCCGCGGCUUCCCCCCCCUCCACCACCGCUACCCUGCUCACCCCCCCUCCUCUAGGUUCCCUCACUCCUCCCUCUAGCUGGAGUCUUGUCACUGCAAUGUGCCACCCACCUGAAUCUG